rnacentral:rRNA from 1 species
GACAGAGGGUGCAAACGUUGUUCGGAAUUACUGGGCGUAAAGCGCGUGUAGGCGCCUGUAAGUCGGGUGUGAAUCCCACGGCUCAACCGUGGAAGUGCAUUCGAAACUACAGGGCUAGAGUUCUGGAGAGGAAGGUGGAAUGCUUGGUGUAGAGGUGAAAUUCGUAGAUAUCAAGCGGAACACCGGUGGCGAAGGCGGCCUUCUGGACAGUAACUGACGCUGAGACGCGAAACGUGGGGAGCAACAGG